GUGUACGCUGGCGGCAUGCUUUAACAUGCAAGUCCAACGGCAGCACGGGCUUCGGCCUGGUGGCGAGUGGCGAACGGGUGAGUAAUGCAUCGGAACGUGCCCAUUUGUGGGGGAUAACGCGGCGAAAGUCGCGCUAAUACCGCAUACGCCCUGAGGGGGAAAGCGGGGGAUUCUUCGGAACCUCGCGCAAUUGGAGCGGCCGAUGUCAGAUUAGCUAGUUGGUAGGGUAAAGGCCUACCAAGGCGACGAUCUGUAGCGGGUCUGAGAGGAUGAUCCGCCACACUGGGACUGAGACACGGCCCAGACUCCUACGGGAGGCAGCAGUGGGGAAUUUUGGACAAUGGGGGCAACCCUGAUCCAGCCAUGCCGCGUGAGUGAAGAAGGCCUUCGGGUUGUAAAGCUCUUUCGGCCGGGAAGAAAUCGGCGACUCUAACAUAGUCGCUGGAUGACGGUACCGGACUAAGAAGCACCGGCUAACUACGUGCCAGCAGCCGCGGUAAUACGUAGGGUGCGACGUUAAUCGGAAUUUACUGGGCGUAAAGCGUGCGCAGGCGGUUUUGUAAGACAGAUGUGAAAUCCCCGGUCUUAACCUGGGAACUGCGUUUGUGACUGCAAGGCUAAAGUACGGCAGAGGGGGGUGGAAUUCC
rnacentral:rRNA from 1 species